AAUGCGAUAAGUAAUGUGAAUUGCAGAAUUCAGUGAAUCAUCGAAUCUUUGAACGCACAUUGCGCCCUUUGGUAUUCCGAAG
rnacentral:rRNA from 1 species